rnacentral:rRNA from 1 species
UACGAAGGGGGCUAGCGUUGUUCGGAAUCACUGGGCGUAAAGGGCGCGUAGGCGGCUUGAUAAGUCGGGGGUGAAAGCCUGUGGCUCAACCACAGAAUUGCCUUCGAUACUGUCGAGCUUGAGACCGGAAGAGGUAAGUGGAACUGCGAGUGUAGAGGUGAAAUUCGUAGAUAUUAGGAAGAACACCAGUGGCGAAGGCGGCUCACUGGCCCGGUACUGACGCUGAGGCGCGAAAGCGUGGGGAGCAAACAGG